UGGGGAAUUUUGGACAAUGGGCGCAAGCCUGAUCCAGCCAUGCCGCGUGUCUGAAGAAGGCCUUCGGGUUGUAAAGGACUUUUGUCAGGGAAGAAAAGGCUGUUGCUAAUAUCGACAGCUGAUGACGGUACCUGAAGAAUAACCACCGGCUAACUACUUGCCAGCAGCCGCGGUAAUACGUAGGGUGCGAGCGUUAAUCGGAAUUACUGGGCGUAAAGCGAGCGCAGACGGUUACUUAAGCAGGAUGUGAAAUCCCCGGGCUCAACCUGGGAACUGCGUUCUGAACUGGGUGACUAGAGUGUGUCAGAGGGAGGUAGAAUUCCACGUGUAACAAUGAAAUGCGUAAAAAAUUGAAGAAAAAACACGGAUGGCGAAGGCAGCCUCCUGGGAUAACACUGACGUUCAUGCUCGAAAAGCGUGGGUAGCAAACAGGAUUAGAUACCCUGGUAGUCCACGCCCUAAACGAUGUCAAUUAGCUGUUGGGCAACUUGAUUGCUUAAGUAGCGUAGCUAACGCGUGAAUUUGACCGCCUGGGGAGUACNGUCGCAAGAUUA
rnacentral:rRNA from 1 species